UGGAAUUGUUAGUUAGAUUACUUGCUCGUUAUUACUGCAUUGUCGGAACUAGAAGCACAAGCAUUUCGCUACACUCGCAUUAACAUCUGCUAACCAUGUGUAUGUGACAAAUAAAAUUUGAUUUGAUUUGAUUUGAUUUGAUUAGGAGGGUAGGGGUUAAGGAAGGGGACUAGUUUGAGGAAGGGGACUAGUUUGUAGGAGGGUAGGGGUUAAGGAAGGGGACUAGUUUGUAGGAGGGUAGGGGUUAAGGAAGGGGACUAGUUUGUAGGAGGGUAGGGGUUAAGGAAGGGGACUAGUUUGUAGGAGGGUAGGGGUUAAGGAAGGGGACUAGUUUGUAGGAGGGUAGGGGUUAAGGAAGGGGACUAGUUUGUAGGAGGGUAGGGGUUAAGGAAGGGGACUAGUUUGUGGGAGGGUAGGGGUUAAGGAAGGGGACUAGUUUGAGGAAGGGGACUAGUUUGAGGAAGGGGACUAGUUUGAGGAAGGGGACUAGUUUGUGGGAGGGUAGGGGUUAAGGAAGGGGACUAGUUUGAGGAAGGGGACUAGUUUGAGGAAGGGGACUAGUUUGAGGAAGGGGACUAGUUUGUAGGAGGGUAGGGUUAAGGAAGGGGAAUAGUUUGUGGGAGGGUAGGGGUUAAGGAAGGGGACUAGUGUGUAGGAGGGUAGGGGUUAAGGAAGGGGACUAGUUUGUAGGAGGGUAGGGGUUAAGGAAGGGGACUAGUUUGUGGGAGGGUAGGGGUUAAGGAAGGGGACUAGUUUGAGGAAGGGAACUAGUUUGAGGAAGGGGACUAGUUUGAGGAAGGGGACUAGUUUGUAGGAGGGUAGGGGUUAAGGAAGGGGACUAGUUUGUGGGAGGGUAGGGGUUAAGGAAGGGGACUAGUUUGUAGGAGGGUAGGGGGUUAAGGAAGGGGACUAGUUUGUGGGAGGGUAGGGGUUAAGGAAGGGGACUAGUUUGUAGGAGGGUAGGGGUUAAGGAAGGGGACUAGUGUGUAGGAGGGUAGGGGUUAAGGAAGGGGACUAGUGUGUAGUAGGGUAGGGGUUAAGGAAGGGGACUAGUCUGUGGGAGGGUAGGGGUUAAGGAAGGGGACUAGUUUGUAGGAGAGUAGGGAGUAGGGAAGGGGACUAGUUUGUAGGAGAGGAAGGGGACUAGUGUGUAGUAGGGCAGGGGUUAAGGAAGGGGACUAGUUUGUGGGAGGGUAGGGGUUAAGGAAGGGGACUAGUUUGUGGGAGGGUAGGGGUUAAGGAAGGGGACUAGUUUGUUGUAGGGUAGGGGUUAAGGAAGGGGACUAGUUUGUAGUAGGGUAUGGGUUAAGGAAGGGGACUAGUUUGUAGUAGGGUAGAGGGUUAAGGAAGGGGACUAGUUUGUUGUAGGGUAGGGUAGGGGUUAAGGAAGGGGACUAGUUUGUUGUAGGGGUUAAGGAAGGGGACUAGUUUGUAGUAGGGUAGGGGUUAAGGAAGGGGACUAGUUUGUGGGAGGGUAGGGGUUAAGGAAGGGGACUAGUUUGUUGUAGGGGUUAAGGAAGGGGACUAGUUUGUGGGAGGGUAGGGGUUAAGGAAGGGGACUAGUUUGUUGUAGGGUAGGGGGUUAAGGAAGGGGACUAGUUUGUAGUAGGGUAGGGGUUAAGGAAGGGGACUAGUUUGUGGGAGGGUAGGGGUUAAGGAAGGGGACUAGUUUGUGGGAGGUUAGGGGUUAAGGAAGGGGACUAGUUUGUAGUAGGGUAGGGGUUAAGGAAGGGGACUAGUCUGCAGGAGGGUAGGGGUUAAGGAAGGGGACUAGUUUGUAGGGGUUAGGGAAGUGGACUAGUGUGUAGGAGGGCAGGGGUUAAGGAAGGGGACUAGUUUGUGGGAGGUUAGGGGUUAAGGAAGGGGACUAGUUUGUGGGAGGGUAGGGGUUAAGGAAGGGGACUAGUUUGUAGUAGGGUAGGGGUUAAGGAAGGGGACUAGUCUGCAGGAGGGUAGCGGUUAAGGAAGGGGACUAGUUUGUAGGGGUUAGGGAAGUGGACUAGUGUGUAGGAGGGUAUGGGACCCGGCUAGCACCUGAGUGGAAUAUAAAGACAGUACGGUCAACUCUUUACAUGUGCUCCUCUGAUCCUACUGAUGGACUUCCAGACUCAGUAUCCCAGAAGCACUACUGCUGCUCACCACGAUUGAGGAGCUGUCCUGUAGUUUAUGAAGGCAGUAGGGUAGAGUUGCACCCUUUCCCUUUGUCUAAUGUUUUUACAGGUUGAAAUGUCUCGCUUUGGCCAAACUCUGCUUCUCUCAGUCUCUGGCUAGCUAGCCAGGCUACUGUUUCUGUAUAGGACCAGGCUAGGAGAGUUAGCAUGACUACUGUCUCUGUAUAGGACCAGGCUAGGAGAGUUAGCAUGACUACUGUCUCUGUAUAGGACCAGGCUAGGAGAGUUAGCAUGACUACUGUCUCUGUAUAGGACCAGGCUAGGAGAGUUAGCAUGACUACUGUUUCUGUAUAGGACCAGGCUAGGAGAGUUAGCAUGACUACUGUUUCUGUAUAGGACCAGGCUAGGAGAGUUAGCAUGACUACUGUUUCUGUAUAGGACCAGGCUAGGAGAGUUAGCAUGACUACUGUCUCUGUAUAGGACCAGGCUAGGAGAGUUAGCAUGACUACUGUUUCUGUAUAGGACCAGGCUAGGAGAGUUAGCAUGACUACUGUUUCUGUAUAGGACCAGGCUAGGAGAGUUAGCAUGACUACUGUUUCUGUAUAGGACCAGGCUAGGA
ensembl:lncRNA